rnacentral:rRNA from 1 species
CCUACGGGAGGCAGCAGUGGGGAAUAUUGCGCAAUGGACGAAAGCCUGACGCAGCGACGCCGCGUGAGGGAUGACGGUCUUCGGAUCGUAAACCUCUGUCAGCAGGGAAGAACAGUCACUGUGCUAAUCAGCAGUGAAUUGACGGUACCUGCAAGGGAAGCACCGGCUAACUCCGUGCCAGCAGCCGCGGUAAUACGGAGGGUGCGAGCGUUAAUCGGAAGUACUGGGCGUAAAGCGCUCGUAGGAGGUAGGUCAAGUCAGGGGUGAAAUCCCCGCGCUCAACGUGGGAACUGCCUUUGAAACUGGCAAACUGGAGAGUUGGAGAGGUGAGUGGAAUUCAAGGUGUAGGAGUGAAA